CCUGCCACACCCAAACCUGAGCUCCUAGCAUGCGCACAGUUGAAUCAUCAGGCACACUUUGCAGCUUCCUAUUUGUCUGUCUCCGUACAGGCUUUUCCUUCUGGCUGGAAUGGACUCCUCUCGACUUCCCUUUUCUCACCUCUGCUUGAAAUAUGUGCACCUUUUCAUAAUGGAAACACAAUGAGGCAAAUGUGAUCUGCAUAGCUCCACCCUUUGUGAACAUCCUUGAGUUGGAAAAGUGCUGUGAGAGGCACGUGUCAAUCUUCAGAAGCUGAAGUGACUUGUCUAGGGUGGGAGAAGGAAUGUUCUCUGGAGAAAUCUGUAUGAUAGAAUAGUGAAGGUAACUGGCCUGAACUACAGCUCUUGAGCCAUCUGGUUUCACCUUCAGGGAGGUGCAGAGAGUGCUGGAAUGGAGGGUUAAUUGACCAUGGUGGAAAAGAGAGAAACAUUUUGAGGUUUGUGGAUUACCCAGAUGUAACAGUGACUUGCACAUAUUCCUCAUGGUGUUGUAUACAAAUGGAUCAGCAAGAAUCAGAUACUACACAUCACAGAUAAAAUCCAUAGCAACCAGGAAGCAAGAUGGUCACAUGGGAAAAUAGGGGAUGGAAUUUUAUGGACAUUAUUCAGACCACCUGGCCUUCUUACUCCCAUGUUGACACAAAGAAAGAGGACAUGAUGCUGAAGGACAAUUGGGUGCCUCAAGGCACCUGUCUUGCAGGACUGUAGUCCUAAUGAUUCAGUUGGUGGAAGGGAACCACGGAAUCACAGAUUCUGUGUUUGCACAGCCAUGCAGUACUGGAAGACCUUUGCACAUCUAGGGAUGCUGAUGUGGGUGGUGUAUUGAUUCUGAUAAUGGUGAUUAAAUGAUGACCAUUCUCAUUCAUUAGCAGAAAUUUUACCUAACCUAAAAAUGUUUAAAAAAACCUAACCAUUGUCUUAUCUUUCAUAGCAUACUGUGAGAUUGACUAUAAAGAUGAACAUUAGGGAAAUGAAGAUGGAUUAAUGUUCUUGGCAGUCUCCAACAACCCCUGCCUUUCAUAGGUAGUCUUACUUCUUGUCGAUUUAUCAGUUACUUUCUGGCUCUUAAGUCUUAUGCUCCUCUGUGAGACCUGUUAAGAGGGAUGGUAUAUACUUGUAGGUAGAAGACUAGGGAAUGGAAGUUGGAGACUUCCAUUCCAUUAACAUAGAAAGUAAUCUAGGGAUAUAAUAAUGGACUGUUUAGGGGUAUAGUACAAUGGCCCAUCCCUGAAUAAGGAAUAUGCUAUAGGUUUGCUAAUUUUACUUGUUCAGGGUAUUUCCAAAUUAUCGAAUUUUUGUUUGUUCUUUUUCUAUAAGUGAAAGUAUACAUCAAAAUGUUUCUGAUGUUUGCAGGUGUGUUUCCUUACUACUGUCCUCCCUAACUCUGGCGACCUCUUUGACCCAGCCAUCAUCAAAAAGCAUGUUUAAGGCCAUGAUUAGGGUAAUUAAUGUUAAGAAUAAAUAUUAUUUCAUUAAGAAACAUUAUUUAACUCAUUUUCCUUAUGUGUCACUUAAUGUUAUUAAGUGACCAAUUAGUUUUUAAUUAUUUCAAAUAAAAUCUAAUUGUAUUUUAAUGUCAUAUAGGUAGAUUUUUCAAAUAUGUAUGUUCACAUUUAUAUUUAGAAACAUACAAUGGGUCAUCUAACUAGAUAUUAAAAACUUUGUAUACACUUUUCAAGAUCUUUACCUUUGUGUGGAAAGCCAAGCUGCCGAAAAAAAUAUAUAUUCUAUAGAGUUCUAUAACUGGUUAAAGCUCUACAGGACCAUCAAUAACCAAACAUGUGCUGCAGUUGCCUGGAGGCAUCGUAAAGUGGUUAUUUAAAUUAAAGUUGUUUCUUAGUACUUGGGGAAAAAAACUAACACAAAUCUAAAUCAGAUGAGUCAUUGUGCAUUUUAAUGAAAAGUUUUUCUAAUAUGUAAAUAAAUCUAGCAAAAUAUCCUCAAUAGUAUAUGAUCAACCAUGUAUAGGGAUCCUCAAAGGAUCUGUUGUUCUAUACUGUGCCCACUGGCCAAAGAACAGGUACCUAACGUUCUCUAAGAGACUUUACAGAUUAUACGAUGAGAUAUGGUUUGAACUCCUGUUUUGGCUGACUCCAUGCAAUCGCACAGUGCUUUAAAAUUGUCUUCUAUCCUGCAUUUUUCUCAGUCGCAGAUAAUUCUGGCUCACCUGGAUUCAAAUACUUGUAGACUUGACGCAAUCCAACUACCUAAGAUCCAAGUGCCCAAGAAACAACUUUCCAGGCUCAAAAAGGUGUCACUCGCUGGCUGUCAUAAUACUUGAAAUUUCUAUCACUAUAUCACUAUACUCAUUCUAUUAAUAUAAGCUGAUGGCUCCUCUAAAGUGUGAGUAUAUUACCUACAAAGGGGAACAAAUUAGCAUAUUAAAUUUAUUAUCAACAUGAGAUUAUACUGUAGUAUGGGCAGCACCCACUCAUUUACCCCUAAUUUUAUGUGUCCCUGCCGAAGAAGCAACUCUGCUUCCAGUCUUGCUACCUUUGACUGCUCAUUGGAGCAAUGGUUUCCACUGUCACUCCUCAUACCUGUUUCCACCUAGGAUGAACUGGCCAUACAAAGCGUAUUAAAUAGGGAGAGAUGAUGAAAACUGACCAUUGACAGGAGAAAGGAGAGAGAAUAUAGGGAAGUUUUACGACACAGAUACCUGCUUAGUGAGGGCAAGUCCAAGUUGGAUACUUUAGAGUGAGACUCCCAACAGCCAUGUGGACAGCAUGAAUAUGCCAAGAGUUUGAAAAAGGAGCCCCAAAUGGACUGGGGCCAGGAGAGUGAGAUGACAAAGACAGACUGAAUCUUUUACAGUUUUGAGCUUUCUUUGAGUACAUACUAGAGAUAUAACAGAACCAGGUGGAGGAAGGAGGCAGGGAAUCUAAAAUAUUUAUGAGCUUGAUAAGAUUGGAAGAGUUUAAAGCAGGAGGUGGAGACAAAUGAGGGUAGACUGGAGGGAGGGAUACAAGCAAGGGAGGGCAUCUUAAGAGUGCUUCAGAAGAGGCAGUGAUGUCAGUGGUGCAGGUGUGGAUCCAACUUAGACACCCUGUUCUUGUGGGUAAAUGCAUAUUUUCUUUUUACACGGCUGGGUUAAAUUACUUCCCCUAGGUCAUUCAAUUAAUCACUUGGAGAGCAAGGAAUAGAAUCCAGCUCUCAAGGCUCUCAUUUCACAUCUGGAGCAGGCAAACUAGGGUUCUCCUUUCUGAAACACCCUCUUUUUUUUUUUUAAGUCUUUUGCAAAUCAGUGAAGUUUUGAGCUCCUUUAUAAAGAAUUUAUGAAAUCCUGUUACUCUUUGCGUGAUUUAAAAUUAAGGUGGUGUUAGUACAAAAAAACACUAUAAAUUGCUUUUUGGUUUAUCUUCCAUUCAAAAAUUUAAAAUAUCUGUCAAAAUUUCUUUGAUUUUUUCCCUGCAG
rnacentral:lncRNA from 1 species